CACAGAAACUGCCAGUGAUUAUGUGGAAUUUUCCAACUUCCGUUCUGUCGACCGCAAGAUACCGCGUCACUGCGGCGUCAAAAGACCCAAAGUGAUCGAAUCUGAUGGAGAUUUCUUCCGCGUCACUUUCAAGUCCAACGACAAAUUUGACGGCACGGGAUUCGAAGCACUCUAUCACUUCAAACCAUAUAUCGAUCCUGCUACAGUAAAGAGGAUAUCUAGUACCGAUACAAAAAGUAGCUCUAACACCUGUGCAUCCCAGGUCGAUUUGCUUCUACUUCUAUGGGUGACGAAAGCUGUUCUGUCAGUAUUGCUAUACUAAACUUGGUUGUAGAGAAUUGAAUGCUGAAUUUCGCUAAAAGGACAUCUGAAGUUGACAAAAGCUGGGCACUUUGAGAAUGUUAUAUACGACUGCUGGCUAUCGAAUCACAAUUCCUGGAGAAAUUUUAUAAACUGCUUUCUUUUUUCUCCUCGUGUGUUGUUCCGACUGAAAAUAAAAUUACUGCUACUUACCUUCGUGGGAAAUGACUUCACAUUCUUUCUACCGGUGCUGCCAUCUAUUGCCAGAUGUUUGAAACUUCGUCUGAAAACUAAUUAAUGUGUGGAAGAACUUUUUCGUGCUUUCGAAGAAUGAGAAAUUCUCUUCGUUUUCUCUACGAUAUAUUUAUUCGCAAACAAAUUUCUAUGAAGUAUCCCUAAUUCCAUUUAGGGGGGAUAUUUGAUCCUGAGAAUUAUUAUGGAAACUGCUUCUUGCAAAAUAUUCUUCGUGAGUGUAAGAUGCAUUGUUGUCUGAAAUCUCUGAACUUUCUGAGAGAGAAAACAAUGAUUCGACGACGAUGGGAAAAUUUCAUUUAUAAAAGGAGAAGACUUUAUGGGCACUUUUGGUGAUACAUCACAGUGCAUCGCAAUUUUUUUUAAAUUACAGCAGUCUUUAAAUGAGCGUAGAUCAAUGGAUAAUUAUUAAAAAUGGAUACAUAUUUUUACCAUAAAACUCAUUUAACAGGCCAAUAUUAUUAGAGAAGAAAACAACUGUAAUUGUUCCUGACUAUGUUCUAAAGCAGUAAGAAGAAUUACGCCUAGAUUAUUGAUACUUUGAGUUUUCGAAUUGCAAUUUGUAUUUGACCAGAUGUAAUUGAACGAAAAUAUUUAUUAAUUUUAGAGAAAAUAUUAUAAUUCUGCUUCACUUACCUUCGCAACAUAACAAUACUGUAUUCGUAAAAAAUUCCUAAAAGACUAAAAUGUUAACUUAUUUAUUCAACUUCAUCUAUUUCAGGUGGCAUUAAAAAAAUAAUCAUUCAAAACACCGUACUCUAAUUCGCUGUGAAAUUCCAUCCACUCGUAACAUAUUUCUUACUCCCAUUAUAAAACAUUAUUAUUCAUUUCGAGCACUGGCUUUCUAGAUUUAUAUUUAAGUAAAAGUCCUUUUAAUAGUCUUUGAUCUUUUUAAAGUAUAAGUCAUUUAAAUGAAUUCCAAAGAAUCGACAAAAUAAGAAUUUAAUUUAUUUAAAUGAGUUCCGAAGAAUCGACAAAAUAAAGAUUUAAUUUAAUAACAUAAACAGGUUCCUCACAAUUGCGUAUUUUGAAGAAACUGGCAUUAACUAAACACUAAGCAAUUCAUCAUCUGAAAGUUUUUUUUUUUUUUUUUUUUUU
rnacentral:lncRNA from 1 species